rnacentral:rRNA from 1 species
UACAGAGGGUGCGAGCGUUAAUCGGAAUUACUGGGCGUAAAGCGUGCGCAGGUGGUUUGUUAAGACAGGUGUGAAAUCCCCGGGCUUAACCUGGGAAUUGCGCUUGUUACUGGCAGACCUGAGUGUGGCAGAGGGGGGUGGAAUUCCAAGUGUAGCAGUGAAAUGCGUAGAUAUUUGGAGGAACACCGAUGGCGAAGGCAGCCCCCCGGGUUAACACUGACGCUCAUGCACGAAAGCGUGGGGAGCAAACAGG